GAUGAACGCUAGCGGCAGGCCUAAUACAUGCAAGUCGAGGGGCAGCGGGGUAGCAAUACUGCCGGCGACCGGCGCACGGGUGCGUAACACGUAUGCAACCUACCUUAAACUGGGGGAUAGCCCGGGGUAAUUCUGAUUAAUACCCCAUAACACGUUGCUGCAACAUGACCAUGUCGUUGAAGAUUUAUCGGUUUAAGACGGGCAUGCGUUGGAUUAGCUAGUUGGUGAGGUAAUGGCUCACCAAGGCUACGAUCGAUAGGGGGUCUGAGAGGAUGAUCCCCCACACUGGUACUGAGAUACGGACCAGACUCCUACGGGAGGCAGCAGUAGGGAAUAUUGGUCAAUGGAGGCAACUCUGAACCAGCCAUGCCGCGUGUAGGAAGAAGGCGUUCUGCGUUGUAAACUACUUUUGAUUGGGAACAAAUGACUCUUGCGAGAGUAGCUGAGUGUACCAAUAGAAUAAGCCACGGCUAACUACGUGCCAGCAGCCGCGGUAA
rnacentral:rRNA from 1 species